rnacentral:misc_RNA from 1 species
UUUCCGUAGGUGAACCUGCGGAAGGAUCAUUGACGAGAGCUAUGAAUGAUCGAGUGAUCUGUGCAACCUGUGGUGGUGCGACGGCUGCUUGAUGUCGCUUUCCUCCAUCGCACUGCUCCUGCUUCCACGGGGGAGCUAGAUGCUGUGGGGGAUAAACAACAGCCUAUGGGCGUGGUCAUACGCCAAGGGAGAGCAAAUGUUAAGCUGCCAACGAGUGUGUUGUGCGUCGCCAGGACCAGUGGGGCUUGGUAAUCGAACAUGGAACGACUCUCGACAACGGAUAUCUUGGCUCUC